CGAGCGUCAAAGGGGUUAUGUUACGUUACACGUGUGGCAACUCUUUGGGAGCGCAACACAUGUGAUUCCUUCCAGAGCACAGAAGGGAGGAAGAGAAAGGAUGAGAACGUAAAAGAAAGUUUAAUUACAAAAAAAAAUCUAUAGAACUACAUAAAUACGACCUGCACUGUGGGAAGCGAAAAAAACAACCAUUCAUCUCGUUUUUGUGUAUCUUCCUCGAAAAGCAGGUGAUUAAAUGGCCACACACCGCGGGAAACAAUAAAAGCGCCGAAUGUCUCCCGUUGAAACGAUUUUUGCAAUAAAACGUUAUUUCAAUAGAA